rnacentral:tRNA from 1 species
ACCGGUAGCUCAGGGGUUAGAGCGGUGGCCUUAUAAGCCAUGUGUCGAUGGUUCAAUUCCAUCUCGGU